CCACUUGUGGUUUUGUGCAGGCGUGUCAUGCCUUUGUCCCCCGUAAGCAAACGUGUUUCUCCCCCUUCUUCCCAUUCCGGUGCAGUAUGUGGAGGACAACCUGGGGGUGAUGUCUGUGGGCUUCCUGCUCAGCAGCCCGGAUGAUGCUGUCAUCUGGAGGGGACCAAAGAAAAACGGUUUGUCACUGCCCCCCUGGGUCUGCCUACAUCCAGGCUGGGGGUGGGGGAUGCUGUGGGCACCCAAUGUCUUUGUGCUGUGUUAAUGCUGUUGCUUUGGUACUGGGGUGGAGCCCAGGACUUCAUGCCUACUAGUGCCCUCACCUUGGCCUGCAGCGUGUUCUGCUUCAGCAUCCCCCUCCCCGAUAAAGAAGACCAUGAGAAAUACUAGUUUUCAGUGUAGACAUUUUAUUACCUUCGGGGAGCCUUUCUACUCUUGAGACUUGCAGGAUCCCAAAGUGAUCUGUAGUGUGGCGUCCGUCACAUGGCUGGUUUGUGUCAAGGAGGGAAGUGUGGAGUGAAGACCCCUUUCUGGGGAAAGAUAUGAUGAUGCAGGCAGCACGGCUGGGCAAGCACCUUCUCGCCCUUGACACUUAAGCCACGCGACUGCUGGAACAACACGUGUGUGCCACACAUAAUGACUGUAGCGCCCCUGACUUCAUCAUGGCCACCCAACAUGUCUACAGAUCUCACCUCCUGCCCCCUGGGGACAGCAGUGUCACUGAGUUGAGGCUGAGAAUGCUCACGCACACUGAAAGAUGCUUCCGGGGAUGUAUGCCGGAAGGAAGGCACACAUUCAGCCUUGCCCACUCCCAGGUAUGAUCAAGCAGUUCCUCCGAGACGUAGACUGGGGAGACGUGGACUACCUCGUCAUAGACACCCCACCCGGCACGUCCGAUGAGCACCUCUCGGUGGUCCAGUAUCUGGCUGCCGCACACAUUGAUGGGGCGGUGAUCCUCACCACCCCUCAGGUGAGUGAGCUCUCUGAGGACUGUCCGGGCACCUCCUGGAUCACACGUGGCUUUCACUGCCCUUUGGCUGAGGGAUAACCGCUCUGUCAACUCUGCCAGGAGGUGGCCCUCCAGGAUGUUCGGAAAGAGAUCAGUUUCUGUCACAAGGUGAAGCUGCCCAUCAUUGGUGUGGUAGAGAACAUGAGUGGUUUCAUCUGCCCCAAGUGCAAGGUGAGGGUCCCCGGGGCAGGCCUAAGCACACCCUGGUCCUAGCGGGGAAACAGCAGGGACGGUUCUCUAGGGACCUGUUUCUGCUUUCCCCCCCGCUGUGUUGGGAAGGGAGGGUCCCCACCAAGCUCUCCACCACUGCCCAGGUGAAGAUGCUUCAGUCUCACAUGCAAACAAGACACUGUUUCAAAAUGUCUGAAAACUAGUGUGUCCUAGGGUGCAGAAGCAAAAUAAAGCUUCCUCCUCUUUCCGCCCCACAGAGAGAGUCUCAGAUCUUCCCUCCCACCACUGGGGGUGCAGAGGCCAUGUGCCAGGCCCUGAAGAUCCCUCUUCUGGGCAAAGUGCCGCUGGAUCCACACAUAGGCAAGAGCUGUGACAAAGGCCAGUCUUUUUUUGUUGAAGCCCCAGAUUCACCAGCCACAGCAGCCUACAAAAGUAUAAUUCAGAGUAAGUAUCUGAGACGUUGCCUGCAGGAAGUCACCUAGAGGAGCGGAGUGUGCAGAAGCAGUAGGGUGGUCUGCCAGCUUCAGCUGGAGACAGGGGUGCUUUCUGAGUCUGAGAAACGAGGGCGGGUGAAGUUCACAGCAUGGGAAAUACGUGCUGUCAAGGCCAGUAAAACCAAUGGGAAUCCUCACUGGUAAACCAAAGCAAGCCAUGGGCAGAGGUGCUAGGCGAGAACUCACCCCUCGACUUGUCUUUUAGGGAUCCGAGAGUUUUGUAAUUCUCGUCAGUCACAUGAUGAGAACCUCAUCAGCCCCUGAAGUGGGACAGAGCCAAGUGCCACCUCCUAACCACAGCGCCAGCGGGUCACGUGUCCAGCCACACCUGGUCAGCAGGAGACAGGUGGUGCCACAGCCACCAGAUGCUGACAGGAUUUGAAGUCACUUAUUAAGACUCUAUAAUCACCUAUCUGCAUAUUUCCUUAAGAUCAAAGGUACAGGCACUCUGCAUCCAGGUGCCAUUCAUCAGAAAAUAAAAAUGUCUCCUUGAACCUGUC
rnacentral:lncRNA from 1 species